rnacentral:rRNA from 1 species
AGUCCUACGGGAGGCAGCAGUGGGGAAUAUUGCACAAUGGGGGAAACCCUGAUGCAGCAACGCCGCGUGAAGGAAGACGGUUUUCGGAUUGUAAACUUCUAUCAAUAGGGAAGAAAGAAAUGACGGUACCUAAAUAAGAAGCCCCGGCUAACUACGUGCCAGCAGCCGCGGUAAUACGUAGGGGGCAAGCGUUAUCCGGAAUUACUGGGCGUAAAGGGUGUGCAGGCGGCUGAGUAAGACAGAUGUGAAAUCCCCGGGCUUAACCUGGGAACCGCAUAUGUGACUGCUUGGCUAGAGUGCGUCAG